UACGGGGGGGGCGAGCGUUGUUCGGAAUUACUGGGCGUAAAGGGCGCGUAGGCGGUGCUCUAAGUCGGAUGUGAAAACUCUGGGCUCAACCCAGAGCCUGCAUCCGAAACUGGAGUGCUAGAGUUCUGGAGGGGGUAGCGGAAUUCCUGGUGUAGCGGUGAAAUGCGUAGAUAUCAGGAGGAACACCGGUGGCGAAGGCGGCUACCUGGACAGAAACUGACGCUGAGGCGCGAAAGCUAGGGGAGCAAACAGG
rnacentral:rRNA from 1 species